rnacentral:rRNA from 1 species
AUUGAACGCUGGCGGCAGGCCUAACACAUGCAAGUCGAGCGGAGCGGCGGACGGGUGAGUAAUGCCUAGGAAUCUGCCUGGUACUGGUGGAUAACGUCCGGAACCGGGCGCUAAUACCGCAUACUAUCAGAUGAGCCUAGGUCGGAUUAGCUAGUUGGUGGGGUAGAGGCCUACAAAGGCGACGAUCCGUAACUGGUCUGAGAGGAUGAUCAGUCACACUGGAACUGAGACACGGUCCAGACUCCUACGGGAGGCAGCAGUGGGGAAUAUUGGGCAAUGGGCGAAAGCCUGAUCCAGCCAUGCCGCGUGUAUGAAGAAGGUCUUCGGAUUGUAAAGUACUUUAAGUUGGGAGGCGUUACCAACAGAAGAAGCACCGGCUAACUUCGUGCCAGCAGCCGCGGUAAUAC